rnacentral:misc_RNA from 1 species
CAUCUGAGAUGGCAACG